rnacentral:rRNA from 1 species
UACAGGGGGUGCAAACGUUGCUCGGAAUCAUUGGGCGUAAAGCGCGCGUAGGCGGCUGCUUAAGUCGGAUGUGAAAGCCCUUGGCUUAACCAAGGAAGUGCAUCCGAAACUGAGCAGCUUGAGUACGAAAGAGGGUCGCGGAAUUCCCGGUGUAGAGGUGAAAUUCGUAGAUAUCGGGAGGAACACCGGUGGCGAAGGCGGCGACCUGGGUCGAGACUGACGCUGAGGCGCGAAAGCGUGGGGAGCAAACAGG